AGUCAAGUCGGGAACUCUAGCAAGACUGCCAGUGCAAACUGUGAGGAAGUGGGGAUGACGUCAAAUCCAUCCACGGCCCUUACGCCUUGGGCUACACACGUGCUACAAUGGACGGUACAGAGAGCAGCCACUACGCAAGUAGGCGCGAAUCUUCAAAGCCGUUCUCAGUUCGGAUCGGAGUCUGCAACCCGACUCCGUGAAGCUGGAUUCGCUAGUAAUCGCAGAUCAGCCAUGCUGCGGUGAAUACGUUCCCGGGCCUU
rnacentral:rRNA from 1 species